CCAUUUUUUCGAAAUUAGACCCGUGGUUUGAAUAGUAGUUUUGGAUUAUAAACUUCAGACCACUGGUCUAGUUUCGAAAAAAUUGUC